CGUGAGCGGAGGGUGUUGCUCGCUCAGCAAGAGGCCCGAACAGAAUUCUUAAGGAAGAAAGCCAGGCGCCAGAACUCACUGCCUGAACUGGAAGCAGCAGAUGCAGGAGUUCCAAGUUCUGGCCCCGUGGACCUGUUUAAGGAGCUGCUGGAAGAAGGGAAAGGAGUGCCCAGAGGCAAUAAAGAGCACGAGGAAGAGAAGCGACAGGAGAAGGAGAGGCAAGAGAAAGCACUAGGCAUCCUGACGUACUUGGGCCAGAGUG